GCAUGCAGGUGGUUCAUUAAGUCAGAUGUGAAAGCCCGGGGCUCGCCUCGGAACUGCAUUUGAAACUGGUGAACUAGAGUACUGUAGAGGGGGGUAGAAUUUCAGGUGUAGCGGUGAAAUGCGUAGAGAUCUGAAGGAAUACCAGUGGCGAAGGCGGCCCCCUGGACAGAUACUGACACUCAGAUGCGAAAGCGUGGGGAGCAAACAGGAUUAGAUACCCUGGUAGUCCACGCCGUAAACGAUGUCUACUUGGAGGUUGUGGCCUUGAGCCGUGGCUUUCGGAGCUAACGCGUUAAGUAGACCGCCUGGGGAGUACGGUCGCAAGAUUAAAACUCAAAUGAAUUGACGGGGGCCCGCACAAGCGGUGGAGCAUGUGGUUUAAUUCGAUGCAACGCGAAGAACCUUACCUACUCUUGACAUCCAGAGAAGCCAGCGGAGACGCAGGUGUGCCUUCGGGAGCUCUGAGACAGGUGCUGCAUGGCUGUCGUCAGCUCGUGUUGUGAAAUGUUGGGUUAAGUCCCGCAACGAGCGCAACCCUUAUCCUUGUUUGCCAGCGAGUAAUGUCGGGAACUCCAGGGAGACUGCCGGUGAUAAACCGGAGGAAGGUGGGGACGACGUCAAGUCAUCAUGGCCCUUACGAGUAGGGCUACACACGUGCUACAAUGGCGCAUACAGAGGGCAGCAAGCUAGCGAUAGUGAGCGAAUCCCAAAAAGUGCGUCGUAGUCCGGAUUGGAGUCUGCAACUCGACUCCAUGAAGUCGGAAUCGCUAGUAAUCGUAGAUCAGAAUGCUACGGUGAAUACGUUCCCGGGCCCUUGUACACACCGCCCGUCACACCAUGGGAGUGGGCUGCAAAAGAAGUUGGGUAGUUUAACCUUUUCGGGGGAGGACGCUCAC
rnacentral:rRNA from 1 species